GACGAACGCUGGCGGCGUGCUUAGCACAUGCAAGUCGAACGGAAAGGCCCUGCUUUUGUGGGGUGCUCGAGUGGCGAACGGGUGAGUAACACGUGAGUAACCUGCCCUUGACUUUGGGAUAACUUCAGGAAGCUGGGGCUAAUACCGGAUAGGAGCUCCUGCUGCAUGGUGGGGGUUGGAAAGUUUCGGCGGUUGGGGAUGGACUCGCGGCUUAUCAGCUUGUUGGUGGGGUAGUGGCUUACCAAGGCUUUGACGGGUAGCCGGCCUGAGAGGGUGACCGGCCACAUUGGGACUGAGAUACGGCCCAGACUCCUACGGGAGGCAGCAGUGGGGAAUAUUGCACAAUGGGCGGAAGCCUGAUGCAGCAACGCCGCGUGCGGGAUGACGGCCUUCGGGUUGUAAACCGCUUUCGCCUGUGACGAAGCGUGAGUGACGGUAAUGGGUAAAGAAGCACCGGCUAACUACGUG
rnacentral:rRNA from 1 species